UACCUGGUUGAUCCUGCCAGUAGUCAUAUGCUUGUCUCAAAGAUUAAGCCAUGCAAGUCUAAGUACGAGCUCUCGUACAGUGAAACUGCGAAUGGCUCAUUAAAUCAGUUAUGGUUCAUUUGAUCGUACAGUUUACUUGGAUAACUGUGGUAAUUCUAGAGCUAAUACAUGCGAGAAGCGCCGACCUCGCGGGAGGCGUGCAUUUAUCAGACCAAAAACCGGCCGCGUCUUCGGGCGCGUUCGCCUUGGUGACUCUGGAUAACUUUGCGGAUCGCACGGUCUAGCACCGGCGACGGAUCAUUCAAGUGUCUGCCCUAUCAACUUUCGUCGGUACGGUAUUUGCCUACCGAGGUUCUUACGGGUGACGGGGAAUCAGGGUUCGAUUCCGGAGAGGGAGCCUGAGAAACGGCUACCACAUCCAAGGAAGGCAGCAGGCGCGCAAAUUACCCAUUCCCGACGCGGGGAGGUAGUGACGAAAAAUAACAAUGCAGGACUCGUUCGAGGCCCUGUAAUUGGAAUGAGUACACUUUAAAAGCUUUAACGAGUAUCCAUUGGAGGGCAAGUCUGGUGCCAGCAGCCGCGGUAAUUCCAGCUCCAAAAGGGUAUAUAUUUAAGUUGUUGCGGUUAAAAAGCUCGUAGUUGGAUUUUGGGCGCAGGCGGCCGGUCCGUCGCAAGGCGUGUACUGGACGUCCUGGCCUUCCCCUCCGGUUCUCCGCCGGUGCUCUUGACUGAGUGUCGGCGGCGGCCGGAACGUUUACUUUGAAAAAAUUAGAGUGUUCAAAGCAGGCUCUCGAGCCUGGAUAAUGGUGCAUGGAAUAAUGGAAUAGGACCUCGGUUCUAUUUUGUUGGUUUUCGGAGCGCGAGGUAAUGAUUAAGAGGGACAGACGGGGGCAUUCGUACUGUGCCGUUAGAGGUGAAAUUCUUGGAUCGGCGCAAGACGAACGACUGCGAAAGCAUUUGCCAAGAAUGUUUUCUUUAAUCAAGAGCGAAAGUCAGAGGUUCGAAGACGAUCAGAUACCGUCCUAGUUCUGACUAUAAACGAUGCCAACUAGCGAUCGGGGGGCGUUACAUUGACGACCCCUCCGGCAGCUUACGGGAAACCAAAGUCUUUGGGUUCCGGGGGAAGUAUGGUUGCAAAGCUGAAACUUAAAGGAAUUGACGGAAGGGCACCACCAGGAGUGGAGCCUGCGGCUUAAUUUGACUCAACACGGGAAAUCUCACCCGGCCCGGACAGA
rfam:Ciona savignyi cont_53081, whole genome shotgun sequence.